UGAACGCUGGCGGUAGGCCUAACACAUGCACGUCGAACGGCAGCACAGUAAGAGCUUGCUCUUACGGGUGGCGAGUGGCGGACGGGUGAGGAAUACAUCGGAAUCUACUUUUUCGUGGGGGAUAACGUAGGGAAACUUACGCUAAUACCGCAUACGACCUACGGGUGAAAGCAGGGGAUCUUCGGACCUUGCGCGAUUGAAUGAGCCGAUGUCGGAUUAGCUAGUUGGCGGGGUAAAGGCCCACCAAGGCGACGAUCCGUAGCUGGUCUGAGAGGAUGAUCAGCCACACUGGAACUGAGACACGGUCCAGACUCCUACGGGAGGCAGCAGUGGGGAAUAUUGGACAAUGGGCGCAAGCCUGAUCCAGCCAUACCGCGUGGGUGAAGAAGGCCUUCGGGUUGUAAAGCCCUUUUGUUGGGAAAGAAAAGCAGCAGGUUAAUACCCCGCUGUUCUGACGGUACCCAAAGAAUAAGCACCGGCUAACUUCG
rnacentral:rRNA from 1 species